GUCUUAAGAGCUCCUAGAUUCUUGGCGAGUUUCCUUUAUUCUUGGCCCCUUGGAGUGCACAUCAACUUAUUUUCUGCUCUAGUCUCUAGUCUAGUUACUAUUACUUUGUCUAUUCACCUUGAACCAAGGUAGACACAUGAAAGAAAUGGAUCCAGGAAAGCAAAGCAAAGAUGAAAUUUUCUUGUGUACAUGUACACCAACCGUAUUGUUGGUAGACAUCGUACACAUUAAUGAAUACCUCAAUUGUAAAAGUUAGGUGUGAAAGUUUCAAUAACUGCCCUUUUAUAAAUAAUUUAUGACACCAUGUUUUCAUUCAGGCAUCCUCAAUCAAACACUAGCAUAUAUAGCACUCACACUUUGUUAUUAAGACAAUGUAACAUCAAAUCUGAUAGGCAUGCUUGUCUAUGUGAAUGACUCUUCUGCAGUCACAGACAUUUGUAGACAUAAUCCAAUAAUCCAAAGUGAUCCUCCCUGUCCCCAAUCCACUAUUUAUCACUGGAGCAAGUACCAAUGCCAGUGGAGUGGAGGCAGUCCUUUUAAACUAACCUGUUAUAGACUUACAGUCACUAUGAUAUUCAGAAAUAUACAAAAAGUGUUUGUGGAAUAGACACGGAUAGAGAUGUGAAAAUCACUGGGGAACAAGUACGAAACUUCUUCCUUAGUUGAAGAUUACCGAGAGAGGUUCUAAAGCAGGUCUGGGAUUUAUACAAUGAUAGCACAUUUUCUUUCGGAGUUUUGUAUCACUCUACCUAAUGGAGUGACUCAAAGAAGGACAUGUUGUCCACAAGUACUCCUAAGUAAAGUAACAAUAUGCCUGAUCUGCCUACUGUUUGUCAACCUUCCACUCACCACAGUGCUCUAGGUCGGGGAAAUCCAUCAGAUUUUCAAUAACAGCAAGUGAUGACUGGUUUUGGUGCUCAACAACUGAACCUUACUACAACCCUCAGUCUGAUGAAGUAUCUCAGAACAAGCAGCAGAGCUCCAGACAGUCCAGAGUUCCAGUUUUGGAGAAGCGCCUAAUAAAUCAGCAGUAUUUAAAAGAGCAAAGUUCAAUUAGUUCAAAGUUUUAAGAUGCAAUAGAAGCUGGCACGGAGCGAAAGGUUCUAUACAAGAACAAAUGUGAUAAACAUCUUAUCAAGAUCAUAGAAAUGAUACCUGCAGAUGAGCAUGAGGUUGAGAUUACAGCAAAGAAAUACGAAGAUAAAUAUAAGCAAGUUGGAGGUGUAUCAUUCAGGCAUAGCAUGUAGCAGGACGCACUAGCUUGGCACCGGUUACAAGGAAGUUCAACAUAACACAAAUGUCUCAUCAUCCUAGAGACAAGUGUUCCUGAUUAGGUCAACAAUCUCAAUCUUUAUAGGGAUACAUGGGUUAUGUCCAACUCAGCAUCCUUGGAAUUAGAAUAGGACCAACUUCCACGGCUAAGAGACGCGGAAGGACAACUUUUGAAUUACAGUGUACACUACAACAUGCCAUGUCAUGCCAGCUAGUACUAGGAGUUGUUCUCCUUGCCAAAGCACAAAAAGUUGUGAUUUGUCUUGUAUUUGUCCACUGCAGAAUCUGCUCCUCUAGCAAUAUCGAAUAGACUUCUAGCUAGGAGUUGUUCUCCUUGCCAAAGCACAAAUAGUUGUGAAUUGUCUUGUAUUGUUCACUGCAGAAUCUGCUCCUCUAGCAUUGUCGAAUAGACAUCAAGGAAUAGAUCAUAUGCAUCUCGGGGGCCUAGUUAGACAAUCACAUUCUUGCGAAUAAAUAGAGAAGCACCUCCAAAGUGUACAGGACUAUGGCUUGGAGACCUAUUUAUGUACCCCAUGCGACGAAGGACCGCAUUCAUGCUGCAACGACUUGUUGACAACCCGCUCAAAUGCAAUACAAAUAUAUGUGGAAUUGUCUUAAUAGGGUUGUUUGAUGUUUGUAGAUGCUCAGGGAAUAGGUUAGGCAUAGCGUAUGUAUGAAAUUAUAUGUGUAUAUAGCUGGAAUUACUACCAAGUAGAAGUCACAAAGAGAAUGGUUGAGAAAGAAGGAGAGUUGAAGGGUUCAUACAAGUAACUGAAGGUAUUUUCUUAGGGUUUCAUACUAUUUGGAUGUCUUAGGAUUCAUGAUCUUUUACUCAACUUCUCUAUAUCUGAG
rnacentral:sRNA from 1 species